AGGGAAGAGAAGGCCAGAGAAGGGCAAAACCUGCAACGUGGCGGGGUCUAAGGAAGGUCGGAGCUCGGGGGAAUACGCAAGUUUUAGAAGAAGGCGGGAGCUGACGAAGAGGCGGGGCACCAGGAAAAGAGGUGCUCCCCAGAGAGGGCGGGGUUUAGGCAGGGAGAAUCCUAUCCGGAGAUUGUCUUGCACAGCCUGGGCCAGAAGUGUUUAAGCUUUUCCCGAGCAGAGACAGUGGCACAGCUGAGGAGCACAGAACCUCAACUGUCUGGUGUGGGUGACCGGCAGUGGUUGUACCAGACAUGUACCGAGUUCGGCUUCUGGGACACAGACCCCUGGCAUGUGCUAAGUGUAACACAGGCUUUAGGAUCCUCAGAAUCAACUCUUCUUAUCCGCACUGGCUCCCACUGCUUGGACAUGGCACCUGAGAGGCCCUCAGACUCCCCCAGCCUCCGCCUAGGGCGCCAGAACAUCUUCCAGCAGCUACAGACCUGGCUCAAGCUGGCAAAGGAGAGCCAGAUUAAGGGUGAAGUCUGAAUCUCAUACCCUUUCCACUCCCUGUAUGGUC
rnacentral:sRNA from 1 species